UAUAAUUUUCUCCGCUCCAAGUCGUCGAAGAAGGAGUUCACUGUGUUCUCUCGCUAUGCGCAAGUGCGAGACCUAUUCUCCUCUCGUCGAUUCCAAGAUAGCAUGGAGAAGCUGCCGAACCUGGUGGCGGACAUUGUGCAGACGUCCUUAAACACUGGUCCCAGGGGUGUCCUUAGGUUGGCUCAAGGUGUUCAGGCCUUCCUUGGCGUUGGUCAGGAGUGGUUAACUGAUGUCUCUAAGUCAGCAAAUUCAUCUACUGGGUUACCGACUGAACUGAAGCUUGGUUUACUCUUCCCCUUUUAUUUGAGGAGGCUGUUUGAGCGCAUGGGUGCAACCUAUAUCAAAUUGGGUCAGGGAGAGCCAGUGUUAGAGAUGGAUGGAGGAAGCCAAGAAGAGCAAACUGAGAUGGAAAUCCACAUUGAAGAAAAGGAGACUUCCACAGUGUUCUUGAAAGAGAGGACAAGCAAGGAAUCCGAGCAUAAGCAAAUGUUGCAGCUGUUGAGUCAAGAAAUCAUUCUUGAAGAGAAAAGGGUGAAAGAUGAGGAAAGGAUGGAGACGCAUCCCUCUCACAUCAAGAAGACUGAGGGAAUAAAAGAGAUCAAGAUGUGGCUGGAGAGGUGGAUGCAGGAACAAGACAUCAUGUUAGAGGACAAGAUUACGAAUAAGCAAAGCAUUCAAGAGGAGAUCAAUGCCCAUUCACCCAAUCAUGUCAAUAAGACCAUGGAAGGGAGUGGGUCAGAAUGCGGCGAUAAUACAGAGUUAGGGAGAUCAGCAGAAUCCUUGAAGCCAGAGAAGGAGCUUGUUUUCUUUGAGGAAGAGUCAGUCAGCCCAUCAUCAUCCUUGGAACCAGCAAACAGAAAAUCAUCAGGGGUAGACAUUUCUAUCAAAGGCACUGGAGAUGCAGAGCUAGUUGUUGAAGAGUCCCCAGUCAAAGACCACCCAAUCUCUCAAGUUGGGAAACUCCCAUGGGCUCGAAUUGCAUCUUUGUUUCGAACCCCAAUAGUGUGCUUCAUACGACAUUCACCCAACACAAGUCAAGUUCAUAGCAUCAGCACCAAUGCUGUUCCUUUUGAGGAAAUUGAAUCUAUAUUGCGCAAGGAAUUAGGAAAGCCAUUAGAAAGCGUUUAUGAAUACAUUGACCCAACACCAGUUGCUUCUGCUUCUAUACCACAGGUUCAUGGUGCAAGGCUAAAAGGCUCCUGGGAGGAUGUGGUUAUAAAGGUCUUAAAACCUGGAAUAGAGGACAUAUAAGUGGCAGAUCUUAAUUUUGUUUAUGUUGUUGCUAGGAUAUUGGAGUUCUUGAGUCCUGAAAUAAGCCGAACAUCACUAGUUGGUAUUGUCAAAGAUAUAUGUUAGUCUAUGCUUGAAGAAGUUGAUUUUUACAAGGAGGCUGCAAAUAUUGAGGCUUUCAGGAGAUAUUUAGAAACAAUGGGACUCACAGGGAAUGCAACAGCUCCAAAAGUGUAUCAAUACUGCAGUACAAAGAAAGUUUUAACUAUGCAAAGACUAUAUGGAGUUCCUCUUACUGACCUAGACUCCAUAAGUUCAUUAGUUUCUAAUCCAGAAACCAGCCUUAUAACUGCUCUCAAUGUGUGGUUUGGAAGUUUGCUUGCAUGUAAAUUGUUUCAUGCAGAUGUACAUGCAGGAAAUCUGUGGCUUCUACAUGAUGGUCAUAUUGGGUUUCUUAACUUCGGAUGUUGAUGCUAAGACCUUUGCCAGAGAUUUGGAAAAAGUAUUCUCAUCAAUUAAGGCAAGUAUUGUAACUCACAUAUACUCACUUGUCAAUCAUGUGUGACUACGGAGGUGAAUGCAGAUUUGAAGAGCACAUAUCAGUUUUUACUUUUUAUACUAGUGGCAUCCACACUAUAGUGUGUUUGUCUAUGUCUUUCAAUCUUGAUCUGUCAUGCAAAAUCCAAUGUUUGGGAUUUUCUCUGCUCACUCACAAUAGGAUAUUCCAGUGCUCUCACUUAACGCAUCCCCUAUGGAUUUUGAUCCUCUCGUUCUAGUGUUUAACAUCACAGGACGUGUGGAGAGAGACGCACAGACCAUACAUGCGAUAAAUGUGUAGAGACCUAUGCAGUGUCUUCGUAUAUCUAUCACUCCCUGCACAUAUGGUCAUGAGAAAAUUGAUGAGUAAUUGAUUAUGUAUGUAUAUAUGAAUCUGUGUGUGCAUGAAUUUAUUGGAGAUUUAAUUGUAAGCAAUGUUCGAUAUUUAGUUAAGAAAAAUUAAGAUCUAUCAUUUAUUAGGUGGUGUAUAUUUGUGCCUCUUCGAAAUAAUGGGGUUAGGUUGGAUUAAUAUAAAGUGGUCUUAUUAUAA